rnacentral:misc_RNA from 1 species
ACGAAUUUGGGUCCCAAUUGGAUCCAUCAUCCCUCUCAAACCUGUGGAAGUGAGAUGUGUUUCGGCGCCUCUGGGCGUCGAAUCUAUGCCGUUUAGCUUGUGUCUGAAGUAAAAACAGAUUUA